rnacentral:sRNA from 1 species
AAAAACGUAGUAGAACUUACCAUAAACGAUUGUAAUGUCAUUGGAGAAGAAGUAUGCUCCUCAGUUUCGUAGAAUCAAACAAGAUAUUCCGCCACAGAGCUCGUUUACCGUGAUAAAGAUUUAAAAUUUAGGGUAAGUUCCUAUUAGAGUGUGGGCUUCCAACCUAAAACCAAUUGGCUAUAGGUGGAGAGGCCCAUAUCUUAUAUAUAUCACUUAAGAUCCUACUCAACAUCCGAUGUGGGACAUUGUCCCUAAUAGUUCCUUCUUCUGAGGGGCAAUGUCGUUCGAAAAGAUCGAACAAGGGCUUAAAGCAACACGCUUUUCCUCGUAAUUUGCGAUUCGAGACGAGGAAAAAGAGUUGUUGAGAGAGAAGAGAAAGGUUUUGUGACCGCUACGAACUUGAAGAUCGACAUGGCGGAUCAAAAGAUAUU